rnacentral:rRNA from 1 species
GACGAACGCUGGCGGCGUGCUUAACACAUGCAAGUCGAACGGAAAGGCCCUGCUUUUGUGGGGUGCUCGAGUGGCGAACGGGUGAGUAACACGUGAGUAACCUGCCCUUGACUUUGGGAUAACUUCAGGAAACUGGGGCUAAUACCGGAUAGGAGCUCCUGCUGCAUGGGGGGGGUUGGAAAGUUUCGGCGGUUGGGGAUGGACUCGCGGCUUAUCAGCUUGUUGGUGGGGUAGUGGCUUACCAAGGGUUUGACGGGUAGCCGGCCUGGGAGGGUGACCGGCCACAUUGGGACUGAGAUACGGCCCAGACUCCUACGGGAGGCAGCAGUGGGGAAUAUUGCACAAUGGGCGGAAGCCUGAUGCAGCAACGCCGCGUGCGGGAUGACGGCCUUCGGGUUGUAAACCGCUUUCGCCUGUGACGAAGCGUGAGUGACGGUAAUGGGUAAAGAAGCACCGGCUAACUACGUG